UACGUAGGGUGCGAGCGUUGUCCGGAAUUAUUGGGCGUAAAGAGCUUGUAGGCGGUCUGUCGCGUCUGCUGUGAAAAUCCGGGGCUCAACCCCGGACUUGCAGUGGGUACGGGCAGACUAGAGUGUGGUAGGGGAGACUGGAAUUCCUGGUGUAGCGGUGAAAUGCGCAGAUAUCAGGAGGAACACCGAUGGCGAAGGCAGGUCUCUGGGCCACUACUGACGCUGAGAAGCGAAAGCAUGGUGAGCGAACAGG
rnacentral:rRNA from 1 species